rnacentral:tRNA from 1 species
GCAGUGCUUGUGGAGAAUUUGGAAAUGACACUGCACUCCCCUGCACGAAAGAAACACCAGACUACGAAUCUGGGGGUCAGGAGUUCGAAUCUCUUCGGGUGCGCCA